GAAGACGGAAAAGAUGUGAGAUCGAGGAAAAAAUCCCGUUUGAACCUUAGGAAUAGAUUAGGAUACAAGUGACAUGUCACUGGAAUAUUUGGGCAUCCGAACUCGUUGAGUUGAGUCCGAGUUCACUUAUGGAUGCGAGCGUCCGAACUCGUUGAGUUGAGUCCGAGUUCGUGAGAUGUAACUAGGCAUCCGAGCUCGAUGAGUUGAGUCCGAGUUCACUUAUG
rnacentral:lncRNA from 1 species